UACAGAGGGGGCGAGCGUUAUUCGGAAUUAUUGGGCGUAAAGGGCGCGUAGGCGGCCUUUCAAGUGACGGGUGAAAUCCCUCGGCUUAACCGAGGAACUGCCUGUCAGACUGGAAGGCUUGAGACCGGGAGAGGUGAGUGGAAUUCCCAGUGUAGCGGUGAAAUGCGUAGAUAUCUGGAGGAAUACCGGUGGCGAAGGCGGCAUUCUGGACCGACAUUGACACUAAAGCGCGAAAGCCAGGGGAGCAAACGGG
rnacentral:rRNA from 1 species